rnacentral:rRNA from 1 species
GACGAACGCUGGCGGCGUGCUUAACACAUGCAAGUCGAACGGUGAACCUCUUCGGAGGGGAUCAGUGGCGAACGGGUGAGUAACACGUGGGCAACCUGCCCCCGGCUCUGGGAUAACUCCAAGAAAUUGGGGCUAAUACCGGAUGUUCACCGCUUCCCGCAUGGGUGGUGGUGGAAAGGGUUUCCGGCUGGGGAUGGGCCCGCGGCCUAUCAGCUUGUUGGUGGGGUAGUGGCCUACCAAGGCGACGACGGGUAGCCGGCCUGAGAGGGUGACCGGCCACGCUGGGACUGAGACACGGCACAGACUCCUACGGGAGGCAGCAGUGGGGAAUGGUGCGCGAUGGGCGGAAGCCUGACGCAGCGACGCCGCGUUGGGGAUGACGGCCUUCGUGUUGUAAGCCUCUUUCAGCAGGGACGAAGCGCAAGUGACGGUACCUGCAGAAGAAGCACCGGCCAACUACGUG